rnacentral:lncRNA from 12 species
AAGAAGAGUUAACAAAAAUAUCUUCAGUCAACUGUUGAGUAACCAAAUAGCUGGUGGUUACCCAUAGGCCUAGGGAGCUCCUAAGACAAUUGUUGGGUUUUUCUUAUUUUAAGAUUUUAUUUAUUUGAGAGAGAGAGAGAGAGCACGUGUGCUCAAGCGGGGGGGGGGGUGCAAAAAAGUAGAGGAGAAGCAGGCUCCCAACUGAGCAGGGAGCCCUAGGGGGUCUUGAUCUCAGAACUCUGGGAUCAUGAGUGAGCCCAAGGCAGAUGCUUAACCCAUCGUGCCAUGCAGAUGCCACUGUCUAGUGCAUUUCUAGAUGCACUAGAUGCAUCUAGAGAAAUGCAUUUCUCUCUCUCUCUCCUUAGAUUAGAACUUGCUGGGAGGAUACAGGACCAAUUAAUACCCCUCAUCUCGAGUGGCAGCGUCACCUGUUAGGUUCCUUUUCCUCUCAUAAUCUACACGCGUCUCCAUUAUGGGAGCAUUAUUUUGCCAGACCAACAUGUUCCUCUUUCAACAGUUAGGAAGAAAUCGAUAAAUAAACUGGCCAGGCAGGAGAAACCUGCCAGUCGCUGUGAUUACUUCGGACCCAGGACAUCCCUAUCCACCUAGGCGGUGUGCAGUAGUCAUGCAAGAGCGCCGACUCCCUAGCAGGUCCUCAGCAAAGAGCGGGAGGGAGGCGAUGGGGAGGAAGGAGUGCCUGCAUUUUUUCGGAUCCCAACACUCACCUGGGGAGGAAGCAAUUAAAGUUUUGAUAACUUCAUGCAUAUGAAUGAUGCAAACUUGUAACAACGUUUGGAAGUGUAUUUGUUUAAACUUCUUUUCCCUCUAAAUAGUUUGGGACCGUUGAACGGUAAAUUUUGUUUCAGCACAUUCAUCAUUUUGCCGGGACGGACCCUACAAGAAGGACAAAUUGAUUUUCCAGAGCAAAUGCAAAAACGGCUUUCGGCUCUUACCUUCCCACGCCCACCUCUCUCCGCCCCUUCCAAGCGCCCGGGAACCUUCCUAAGGCUGCCCCUCCCCUCCCUCGGGCGGGGCCAACGCCGAGGAACCCGGAUUCUCAUCCCUCCCUCCCCCCACCCCGGACCUCCAUCCCCCGCCCGCUCCGGGGAGUGGGAGCCGCCGACGCUGGGGGAGGGGCUGUGGCCUGCCCCGGGGACUAGGGUGCUGCUUUACAGCAGAGGUGGCCCGGGGCCCAGUCAGACCGUGCAACCCCGCGCGAGCGUCCCAACUCCCGUGCUCUGUCCCUCCGGCGCGCGGCCUCCGCCAGCCCACAGUUUUAGAAGAAAGCCGAAGAGUGUGGUCUACGGAGCAUGCUGCGCUUGCCAGGGGUGUGGACGCAGAGUUCAAGCACAGACAAAGGGCAGGCAGUGAUUUCAUACUUCUGAUAGGUAAAUGAAGAAUUCAGAGCCUAAACCCAAGUUUAAGACAAGAUGCAAAAAAAGGAAAAAAAAAUCAAAGAGCUUGGAACAGAAUUCUGGCAGCAGUGAACCUGG